ensembl:misc_RNA 7SK 7SK RNA
GCAUGUGAGGGUGAUCUGGCUGCUACAUGUCACUCUAUUGAUCACCAGGGUUGAUUCAGCUGAUCUGGCUGGUUAGGUGGGUGACAUCUUCCUCUCUCAACAAUUCAUGUGAGUCCCUCUUGAAGCUGCAUGCUUUGAAAGAGGAUGACCACCUCCAUAAUGGAGGACUGUUUCUCCUCAAGAGUAUGGGAGUGUCCUCCCCUGCCAAAAUCUCCAAACAAGAGCUCUAAAUUGUGGACGUUGAGCAUUUUCUCUCCAUGACUUCAAACUGACUGACAUAAUACAUAU